rnacentral:rRNA from 1 species
AGAGAGAGACAUGCGCGCAUAUCAAUAAGCGGAGGAAAAGAAACUAACUAGGAUUCCCUCAGUAACGGCGAGUGAAGCGGGAAGAGCUCAAAUUUGAAAUCUUCAAGGUUCUACCUUGACGAAUUGUAGUUUAAAGAAGUGUUUUCUGUUGGAGUUUUGGUAAAAGUUCUUUGGAAUAGGACAUCAUAGAGGGUGAGAAUCCCGUAUUUGACCAUUAUUUCCAGCUUUGUGAUACACUUUCAAAGAGUCGGAUUGUUUGGGAAUGCAGUCCAAAAUGGGUGGUAAAUUUCAUCUAAAGCUAAAUACUUGGCGAGAGACCGAUAGCGAACAAGUACCGUGAGGGAAAGAUGAAAAGAACUUUGAAAAGAGAGUUAAACAGUACGUGAAAUUGUCAAAAGGGAAGCGUUUGACACCAGUGUUGUUUUCUCGAAAAUCAAUUAAAAAGGGCAGGAUUUUGUGUUGUAUUGACUUUAUCAGCUUUCUGCACUCCUUUCUUGUCUUUUUUAAUGCACUUUUCGUUUAACAAGUCAACAUCAAUUUCUUUUGUUGUAAAAGGGUCAUUGGAAGGUGGCUUUCUUUUCGGAGAAAGUGUUUAUAGCCUUUGGCCUCUGCAAUCGGAGAGAUUGAGGUCUGCAGCGUAGAUCCUUCGGGGUUAGAUACAUUUGUGCUAAGUUAUAGCCUUUCAUAGACAACUUGUUGACUAUGAUCAGUCAUGUAGCUUACUCGCUUAUGCUAUUUUACCUACGCUUAGGAUGUUGAUGUGAUACUGCGAGCA